rnacentral:rRNA from 14 species
UGACAUGAGUAGCGACAAAGAGUGUGAGAGACACUCUCGCCGAAAGUCCAAGGGUUCCUGCUUAAAGCUAAUCUGAGCAGGGUAAGCCGGCCCCUAAGCCGAGGCCGAAAGGCGUAGGCGAUGGGAACCACGUUAAUAUUCGUGGGCCAGAUGGAAGUGACGGAUCUCGAAGAUUGUUCCUCCUUAUCGGAUUGGAGGGGCCGUUCAGAGGUUCCUGGAAAUAGCUCCAUCAUCAGACCGUACCCUAAACCGACACAGGUGGACUGGUAGAGCAUACCAAGGCGCUUGAGAGAACGAUGUUGAAGGAACUCGGCAAAAUACCUCCGUAAGUUCGCGAGAAGGAGGCCCGGUUCCUAGGCAACUAGGGGCUGGGGGCACAAACCAGGGGGUGGCGACUGUUUAUUAAAAACACAGGGCUCUGCGAAGUCGCAAGACGACGUAUAGGGUCUGACGCCUGCCCGGUGCCUGAAGGUUAAAAGGAGGGGUGAGAGCUCUGAAUUGAAGCCCAGGUAAACGGCGGCCGUAACAAUAA